rnacentral:snRNA from 2 species
AUACCUUUCUCGGCCUUUUGGCCGAGAUAAAGUGUAGUAUAUGUUCUUAUCAGUUUUGAGGUUAUAAGAAUGAUAGUUUGAACAAUGACACGUUAUUGUUCAAACUAUCACUCUUA